rnacentral:rRNA from 1 species
CAGUAGCCGCGGUAAUACGAAGGGGGCUAGCGUUGCUCGGAACCACUGGGCGUAAAGGGUGCGUAGGCGGGUCUUUAAGUCAGGGGUGAAAUCCUGGAGCUCAACUCCAGAACUGCCUUUGAUACUGAGGAUCUUGAGUUCGGGAGAGGUGAGUGGAACUGCGAGUGUAGAGGUGAAAUUCGUAGAUAUUCGCAAGAACACCAGUGGCGAAGGCGGCUCACUGGCCCGAUACUGACGCUGAGGCACGAAAGCGUGGGGAGCAAGCAGGAUUAGAUACCCGGGUAGUCCCUGUCUCUUAUAA